CGACGGCGUGGCGCGGGGGUGUGUGCGCGUUGCCGCCGCGCACCCGGCGACAGUGGCGCUCGGGCCGCUGGUCGGUGA
rnacentral:tRNA from 1 species